rnacentral:rRNA from 1 species
UACGUAGGGUGCGAGCGUUGUCCGGAAUUAUUGGGCGUAAAGAGCUCGUAGGCGGCUUGUCGCGUCGACUGUGAAAUCCCGCGGCUCAACUGCGGGUCUGCAGUCGAUACGGGCAGGCUAGAGUUCGGUAGGGGAGACUGGAAUUCCGUGGUGUAGCGGUGAAAUGCGCAGAUAAUCAGGAGGAACACCGGUGGCGAAGGCGGGUCUCUGGGCCGAUACUGACGCUGAGACGCGAAAGCGUGGGGAGCAAACAGG